ensembl:rRNA 5S_rRNA 5S ribosomal RNA
UCCGGUGGCCACACCACCCUGAACCUGCCUGGUCUCCUCUGACCUCGGAAGCUAAGCAGGGUCAGGACUGGUUGGUACUUGGAGCAGAGAGGGUAGGGCAGGAGAGAUACCUCCAGUU